GGAGAUGGGGCUUGGAUGCCAACAUGGGAUGGAACUGAACACUGACUUAUCGUAGUUGACAAUCGAGAGGAAUGCUUUCGUAGUUACAGCAGUUGGUGUGUGCUAAGAGGAAUGGUUCCUAAACUUCCCUAUGUUGAGAUUCGCAUCCUUGCUUUAAGUAUGAAUCCAAGUGGUUCUUCAUAACUAGGCCCAGGAUUGUGGCUCAGCCGCUGUGAACUUGACACAAGGACAGACAACAUCAAAGCACAAGAUUCAUGUGAGGAUGACGUCCUGCUCUAGAGAUGGUCUUCUGGAUAUUUCCCAAGGCUCAGUGUUUGUAUCCUUCAGACCCCUCCUCCUUCCCUCUUCACUCCCUUCCUGGAGCAUUAUUUGCAUGCAUGUUGGUCUGAAGACAUAAGCAGCCAUGCUACCAUCCAGCCUUCUUAGUAUUCAGAUGUAAACCCAUGGCAGUUGUGCAUUUGUUAAUGUUACAGAAUGCUCAUUAUGUCAAA